ACCUGGUUGAUCCUGCCAGUAGUUAUAUGUUUGUUUUAAAGAUUAAGCCAUGUAUGUUUAAGUAUUAGUUUUUAUAUGAUGAAACUGCGAAGAGCUUAUUAAAACAGUUAUAGUUUAUUUGAUAAGUGAAACAAAAUUUUAAAUGGAUAAUUAUAGAAAUUCUAUGGUUAAUACAUGUAUAAUUCUUAAAUGAAAUAGUUAUAUUUAUAAAUAAAAAAAGUAAUGUAUGUUGUUACAUACGUGUAAGUUGAAUAAUUUUAAAUAAAUGAAUUUUAAAAUAAAAUUAAUUAAAUAUGUAUUUGACCUAUCAGCUUUAAUAAUAAGACCUUGGCUUAAUAUAAUAGUGACGGGUAACAGAGGAUUAAGGUUUAAUUCUGGAGAGGGAGCUUGAGAAAUAGUUAUUACAUUUAAGGAAGGCAGCAGGCGUGUAGAUUAUCCAAUUUUAAUGAAAAGAGGUAGUGAUAAGGAAUAACAAUGCAAAACAUAAUAAUGUGUUUUGUAAUUGGAAUAAGAUAUAUAUAAUAUUUUAUAAAUUUUAAUUAAAGGGCAAGUCUGGUGGCCAGCAGCCGCGGUAAUUCUAGUUUUAUAAUAUAUAUAUUAAUAUUGUUGUAGUUAAAAAGCUCGUAGUUGAUGUUUUGAUAAUAAUAAAAGAAUUAUUUAUUUUUGUGUAAGUGUAUUUUAUAAUUGUUAGAUUUAUAUAAAAAGUUUUAUAUGUUUAUAUAGUAAUUUUAUAAUUUUAUUUUGAGGAAAUUAAAGUGUUUAAAGCAUGAAUGUUUGGUUGAAUGAUGUAGUAUGGAAUAAUAAAAAUGUAAUAGAAUUUGUUUUAAUGGUUGGUUUUAAAAUGUUAUUAAAUUAUUUUUAAGAAUAGUUGGGGGUAUUUGUAUUUAACAAGCAAGAGGUGAAAUUCUUAGAUUUGUUGAAGAUAAAUUAUUGCGAAAGCAUUUAUUAAAGAUGUUUUUUUAAAUUAAGAACAAAAGUUAAGGGAUCGAAGACGAUCAGAUACCGUCGUAGUCUUAAUUAUAAACUAUGCUGAUUAGGGAUUAGAUGUUUUUAAUUAAAUGAAUUGUUUAGUAUUUUUAAAGAAAUCAAAGUUUUUAGGUUUUGGGGGGAGUAUAGUUGCAAAGUUGAAACUUAAAGGAAUUGACGGAAAGGCACUACCAGAAGUGGAGUAUGCGGUUUAAUUUGAUUCAACACGGGAAAUCUUAUUAGGUCCAGACAUAGGAAGGAUUGAUAGAUUAAUAGUUUUUUUUUGAUUUUAUGGGUGGUGGUGCAUGGUUGUUCUUAGUUGGUGGAGUGAUUUGUUUGGUUAAUUCCGUUAACGAACGAGACUUUAAUAUAUUAAGUAGAGAAAUAAUGUAUGAUAUAUUUUUACUUUUGAUGAUUUUUUGAUGGAUUUUAUAUAUAUAAUUUAAGGUAGUUUAAGGUAAUAACAGGUCUGGAAUGCCCUUAGAUGUUUUAGGCUACACGCGCGCUACAUUAAUGUGAUUAAAUAGUUUAUAAUUAUAGUUGUUAAAAUAUAGUAAUCUUAUAAUAUACUUUGUAAUUGGGAUAGUGUAUUGGAAUUAUUAUUCUUAAACGAGGAAUUUUUAGUAAAUACAAGUCAUAAACUUAUAUUGAAUAUGUACCUGCCUUUUGUACACACCGCCCGUCGCUCUUACCGAUCGAAUAAAUUGGUGAAUGAAUUAGAAUGUGUGUAAAUUAUUUGAUUUUUUGAUAUAUGUAAAAAUUUAUAAAUUUUAUUAUUUAGAGGAAGGAGAAGUCGUAACAAGGUUUCCGUAGGUGAACCAGCGGAAGAA
rnacentral:rRNA from 1 species